rnacentral:misc_RNA from 1 species
GAUGAAGAACGCAGCGAAAUGCGAUACUUGGUGUGAAUUGCAGAAUCCCGUGAACCAUCGAGUCUUUGAACGCAAGUUGCGCCCGAAGCCGUCAGGCCGAGGGCACGCCUGCCUGGGCGUCACACGCCGUUGCCCCCCCGCGCCCCGCACCCAACGCUUUGGGAGCGACCGCGGGGCGGGCUGAUGAUGGCCUCCCGUGCGCUCCGCCGCGCGGUUGGCCCAAAUACCGAGUCCCCGGCGACGUGCGCCACGACGAUCGGUGGUUGAGAGACCUCUGUCGCAAGUCGUGCGCGCCCGUCGCGUCACGCGGGCUCGCAUAGCGCCUCGCGCCGCACCCGGUGCGGAGCUUUCAACGCGACCCCAGGUCAGGCGGGGUUACCCGCUGAAUUUAAGCAUAUCAAUAACGGAGGA